rnacentral:rRNA from 1 species
GACGAACGCUGGCGGCGUGCCUAAUACAUGCAAGUCGAGCGCAGUUUUUCUGGUCCUUUCACAAGAGGAACUGCACGGCGAACGGGUGAGUAACGUGUAAAGAACCUGCCUCAUAGACGGGGACAACUAUUGGAAACGAUCGCUAAUACCAUAUAACAGUAUUUCUCGCGUGUUAGGUUUUUAAAAGUUGAUUAUGCUACCACUAUGAGAUGCCUUUGCGGUGGAUUUGCUAGUUGGUGGGGUAAAGGCCCACCAAGGCGACGAUACAUAGCCGACCUGAGGGGGUGGUCCGCCAAAAUGGGACUGGGACACGGCCCAAACUCCUACGGGAAGCAGCAGUAGGGGAUCUUCGGCAAUGGACGGAAGUCUGACCGAGCAACGCCGCGGGAGUGAAGAAGGUUUUCGGAUCGUAAAACUCUGGUGGUAGGGAAGAACGUUGGUGGGAGUGGAAAGCUCAGCAAGUGACGGUAACUACCCAGAAAGGGACGGCUAACUACGUG